rnacentral:rRNA from 1 species
UAGGGAAUCUUCCGCAAUGGACGCAAGUCUGACGGAGCAACGCCGCGUGAGUGAAGAAGGACUUCGGUUCGUAAAACUCUGUUGUUAGAGAAGAACAGCGCAUAGAGUAACUGUUAUGCGUGUGACGGUAUCUAACCAGAAAGCCACGGCUAACUACGUGCCAGCAGCCGCGGUAAUACGUAGGUGGCAAGCGUUGUCCGGACUUAUUGGGCGUAAAGCGAGCGCAGGCGGUCAAUUAAGUCUGAUGUGAAAGCCCCCGGCUCAACCAGCGAGGGUCAUUGGAAACUGGUGGACUUGAGUGCAGAAGGGGUGAGUGGAAUUCCCUGUGUAGCGGUGAAAUGCGUAGAUAUCUGGAAGAACACCAGUGGCGAAGGCGACUUUCUGGUCUGUAACUGACGCUGAGGCUCGAAAGCGUGGGUAGCAAACAGG